UAGACACCUUGUCACGCUUAAACUGCCAUCUUCCACAUUCGCCAUUUUUAUGAAUGAAUAACCCUAACUCACCAUGACAGUUUUAGCCUAAGAAAGUUUUUUCUCUACUUUCAAACUUAGCACCAUGGCCAUCUUCUUCAUUAUCAUCAUAGCAGCACUAUUAGUAUUAGUACCAAAUUCAGAAACUCCCAUCAGAAAAACAGAUCUUGAAAGACCUUUUGAAAUAAGUUUCUCUAUUCCAAGGAUUCUGAAUGGCUCAGAAAGAGAUAAUGGAGCAGCAGGAUAUAAGGAAGCUUGAUGUAACUAAGUUACAUCCGCUUUCUCCCGAAGUUAUAUCCAGGCAGCCUACAAUCAACAUUGGCCUCAUUGGCCAUGUAGCACAUGGAAAAACAACCCUUGUCAGAGCAAUCUCUGGUAUCCAGACGACUCGAUUCAAAUGUGAACUGGAGCGUAACAUAACUGUGAAACUUGGGUAUGCAAAUGCAAAAAUUUACAAAUGUGAGGAUGAAAGUUGUCCGCAACCUUUAUGCUACAUGUCAUAUGGAAGUGGUAAAGAAGAUAAUCCUCCAUGCGAUGUUCCUGGAUUCAGAAACUGCAAGAUGAAACUGCUUAGACACAUUUCUUUUGUAGAUUGCCCGGGGCAUGAGAUACUGAUGACUAGAAUGCUGAGCGGAGCAACAGUUAUGGAUGCAGCUUUUCUUCUCAUAGCUGCCAAUGAAAGUUGUCCUCAACCCCAAACUAUAGAGCAUUUGUCUGCUGUUGACAUCUUGAAGCUUCAAAACCUAAUAGUUCUUCAGAACAAAGUUGACACUAUACAGGAGCAUCAAGCUAGAAAACAGUAUAAGGCAAUCCGGGAAUUUCUGAAGGGAACAGUAGCACAAGAUGCGCCAGUUGUACCUGUUUCCUCACAGCUUAAUUACAACAUUGAUGCUGUUUGUGAAUAUAUUACAAAGAUUCCUAUCCCUAAGAGAGACUUUGUAUCACCUCCUCAUAUGGUUGUGGUUCGAUCUUUCGAUGUGAAUAAGCCUGGUUGUGGGAUUAAUGACAUGAAAGGUGGUGUUGUAGGUGGAACUAUCACUAAGGGUGUUCUAAAGGUAAAUCAGAUUGUUGAGCUUCGUCCAGGAAUCAUUGAAAAAAAUGCAGAUGGAAAAACCAUCUGUAAACCAAUAUAUUCCAGAAUUAUGUCAUUAUUUUCGGAGCAAAAUAAGCUUCAGUUUGCUGUGCCAGGAGGCCUUAUUGGGGUUGGCACGUCAAUGGAUCCUGCCCUAUCACGUAGUGAUAUGCUAGUUGGUCAAGUCCUUGGCGAUGUCGGUACACUCCCUGAAGUGUACAUCAAACUUAAAAUCAGGAAAAUUAAACUGCUGCGCCGGCUUGUAGGGGUUGAGAAAAAUGACUUUGGAAAGCAGGUGUCAAAUCUGUUGAAGGGUGAGGUUCUAAUGCUGAAUAUCUUGUCCAUGACAAUUGGGGCUCAAAUCAUUACAGUUAGAAAGAAUAGUGCAACGUUGCAACUAACUGCACCCGUAUGCACUCCCUAGCCGAGAAGGUGGUGCUCAGCCGUCGAGUUGGUGGCCACUGGCGUCUCAUUGGGUGGGGUGAGAUUGAAGACGGAGUGGCACUAGAUGUGCAAACUAUACCUGCAGAGAUGUUCUCUUAGCAAGGAGAUUCUGGCAUUGAUAAUAAUAUUGAUUUACAGUGUGAACUAGUUCUUUUGUUUUUCGUGCUCCCUUUUAGCUUAUGAAUUACUUGCAACUGAUGGAUGUUUCUUUUUAGUUUUUGCUCCUAUGGAAUAGUAUUUUUCUUUUCAGCGUUUUGGUGUGGAUUUUGUCCGCACUCUUGUCACCUAUAUUGCGAUGCUUUAAAAUCCUUUGGCCUUCACCUCUUUGUACUUUGCCAGCCCCAAUUAGGGGUGGGCAUAAUAUGGUAUUUAAAUUUUCAGUUUUGGUAAC